rnacentral:rRNA from 1 species
AGGAUUCCCUAGUAACUGCGAGUGAAGCGGGAAAAGCUCAAAUUUAAAAUCUGGUGGUCUUUGGCCAUCCGAGUUGUAAUUUAGAGAAGCGUCUUCCGCGCUGGACCGUGCACAAGUCUCCUGGAAUGGAGCGUCAUAGAGGGUGAGAAUCCCGUCUUUGGCACGGACGCACCAGGGCUUUUGUGAUGCGCUCUCGAAGAGUCGAGUUGUUUGGGAAUGCAGCUCAAAAUGGGUGGUGAACUCCAUCUAAAGCUAAAUAUUGGCGAGAGACCGAUAGCGAACAAGUACCGUGAGGGAAAGAUGAAAAGCACUUUGGAAAGAGAGUGAAACAGUACGUGAAAUUGUUGAAAGGGAAACGCUUGAAGUCAGUCGCGUCGACCGAGACUCAGCCUUGCCUCGGCUUGGUGUACUUCUCGGCCGACGGGUCAGCAUCAAUUUUGCCCCUUGGAUAAUGGCGAGGGAAAUGUGACACCUUUACGGUGUGUUAUAGUCUCUCGUCGCAUGCAAGGGUUGGGAUUGAGGAACUCAGCACGCGCCUUUGGGCGUCGGGGCUUUGCCCACGAUACGUGCUUAGGAUGUUGGCGUAAUGGCUUUAAACGACCCGUCUUGAAACACGGACCAAGGAGUCUAACAUGCCCGCGAGUGUUCGGGUGGAAAACCCGUGCGCGCAAUGAAAGUGAAAGUUGGGACCUCCGUCGUGGAGGGCACCGACGCCCGGACCAGACCUUCUGUGACGGCUCUGCGGUAGAGCGUGUAUGUUAGGACCCGAAAGAUGGUGAACUAUGCCUGAAUAGGGUGAAGCCAGAGGAAACUCUGGUGGAGGCUCGUAGCGAUUCUGACGUGCAAAUCGAUCGUCAAAUUUGGGUAUAGGGGCGAAAGACUAAUCGAACAUCUAGUAGCU